rnacentral:misc_RNA from 1 species
UUGUGGAGGAGGACGCCGAAGGUGGGGCUAAUGACUGGGGUGAAGUCGUAACAAGGUAGCCGUACCGGAAGGUGCGGCUGGAUCACCUCCUAACAGGGAGACAACAAAAUGUUUAAUAUUAUUAUUUUGUCACCUUAGGUCGAUCGGUAUCUCACGUUCUUAAUUAAUUAAGAAUUUCAUUUCCUAAGUUUUUCUAGGUCACACCCAUUAUUUUUCCUGGGCCAUUAGCUCAGGUGGUUAGAGCGCACCCCUGAUAAGGGUGAGGUCCCUGGUUCAAGUCCAGGAUGGCCCAUAUCUCUAUGUUGGGGGUAUAGCUCAGUUGGUAGAGCGCCUGCUUUGCAAGCAGGAUGUCAGCGGUUCGAGUCCGCUUACCUCCACUGAUUACCACCUCUUCCAUAAUCUGUAGAAAGGAAAUUUUUUGAGUUGUGAUCAAAUUCUGAACGAAUCUAGCUUCCUAAUGAAAGCAUUAAGAUGCUGGACUCAUUGAAUUAAAUUCAUUGUUUUCAGAGAACCUUGACAACUGCAUAGAUUAUUUUUUUAAAGACAAUAAGCAUCUUUAAUGAUGCAGAUUUAUUAUUUGUGCGAAUGCAUUAAUAACAAUUCUAUUAAGCUGAUGCUUCAAUUUUGAAGUUAUUGGUCAAGCUACAA